rnacentral:rRNA from 1 species
GAUGAACGUGGCGGCGUGCCUAACACAUGCAAGUCGAACGGAGUGGCGGACGGGUGAGUAAAACGUGGGUAACCUGCCUCAUAGAGGGGGAUAACAGAGAGAAAUCACUGCUAAUACCGCAUACUAUGAGAUGGACCCGCGACUGAUUAGUCGGUUGGUAAGGUAAGGGCUUACCAAAGCAACGAUCAGUAGCCGAACUGAGAGGAUGAACGGCCACAUUGUGACUGAGACACGGCCCAAACUCCUACGGGAGGCAGCAGUGGGGGAUAUUGCACAAUGGGCGAAAGCCUGAUGCAGCGACGCCGCGUGGGGGAUGAAGGCUUUCGGGUUGUAAAACUCUGUUGUUAGAGAAGCGGUAUCUAACCAGAAAGCCACGGCUAACUACGUGCCAGCAGCCGCGGUAAUUC